rnacentral:rRNA from 1 species
UGGGGAAUUUUGGACAAUGGGGGAAACCCUGAUCCAGCCAUCCCGCGUGUGCGAUGAAGGCCUUCGGGUUGUAAAGCACUUUUGGCAGGAAAGAAACGUCGCGGGUUAAUACCCCGCGAAACUGACGGUACCUGCAGAAUAAGCACCGGCUAACUACGUGCCAGCAGCACGGCAGUAUGACGUAGGGUGCAAGCGUUAAUCGGAAUUACUGGGCGUAAAGCGUGCGCAGGCGGUUCGGAAAGAAAGAUGUGAAAUCCCAGAGCUUAACUUUGGAACUGCAUUUUUAACUACCGGGCUAGAGUGUGUCAGAGGGAGGUGGAAUUCCGCGUGUAGCAGUGAAAUGCGUAGAUAUGCGGAGGAACACCGAUGGCGAAGGCAGCCUCCUGGGAUAACACUGACGCUCAUGCACGAAAGCGUGGGGAGCAAACAGGAUUAGAUACCCUGGUAGUCCACGCCCUAAACGAUGUCAACUAGCUGUUGGGGGCCUUCGGGCCUUGGUAGCGCAGCUAACGCGUGAAGUUGACCGCCUGGGGAGUACGGUCGCAAGAUUAAAAACUUAAAUGAAUUG